GACGAAGGUGGCGAGCGUUGUUCGGAAUCACUGGGCAUAAAGCGCACGUAGGCGGCGGCGUAAGUUGGAUGUGAAAUCCCCCGGCCCAACCGGGGAACUGCGUCCAGUACUGCGUUGCUUGAGGAUCCAAGGGGUGCAUGGAAUUCCCGGUGGAGCGGUGAAAUGCGUUGAUAUCGGGAGGAACUCCGGCGGCGAAAGCGGUGCACUAGUGGAUUACUGACGCUGAGGUGCGAAAGCCAGGGGAGCAAACGGG
rnacentral:rRNA from 1 species